GAGUUUGAUCGUGGCUCAGGAUGAACGCUGGCGGCGUGCCUAACACAUGCAAGUCGAACGGAGUUCUUAAGGAAUGCGGCUUCGGCCAAAUGACUUUUGAACUUAGUGGCGGACGGGUGAGUAACGCGUGAGCAACCUGCCUUUCAGAGGGGGAGUAACAUUUGGAAACAGAUGCUAAUACCGCAUAAGAUUACAGUACCGCAUGAUACAGUGAUCAAAGGAGCAAUCCGCUGAAAGAUGGGCUCGCGUCCGAUUAGAUAGUUGGUGAGGUAACGGCGUCACCAAGUCGACGAUCGGUAGCCGGACUGAGAGGUUGAACGGCCACAUUGGGACUGAGACACGGCCCAGACUCCUACGGGAGGCAGCAGUGGGGAACAUUGCGCAAUGGGCGAAAGCCUGAUGCAGCAACGCCGCGUGAGGGAAGACGGUUUUCGGAUUGUAAACCUCUGUUUUCGGUGACGAACAAAUGACGGUAACCGAGUAGGAAGCCACGGCUAACUACGUGCCAGCAGCCGCCGUAA
rnacentral:rRNA from 1 species